UACAGAGGUGGCAAGCGUUGUUCGGAAUUACUGGGCGUAAAGGGCGCGUAGGCGGCCUUCUAAGUCGAACGUGAAAUCCCUGGGCUCAACCCAGGAACUGCGUCCGAUACUGGAAGGCUUGAAUCCGGGAGAGGGAUGCGGAAUUCCAGGUGUAGCGGUGAAAUGCGUAGAUAUCUGGAGGAACACCGGUGGCGAAGGCGGCAUCCUGGACCGGUAUUGACGCUGAGGCGCGAAAGCCAGGGGAGCAAAGCGGG
rnacentral:rRNA from 1 species